CAUGAACCACAUUUUUGUGAGUCUAUUAAUAUUUUAAAUGAAACAGAAAAGAAGCAAUGCUGAUAUAAUAUUUCGUCUCACUAUAAUUGUAGAUAACCGGAGUAGCAAGGCGAGCUGACUGACGUUAUCAAGUACACUGCUGUUCCAUUGGCAGAUCUACCGGACUUGUGUCCUCCCAUCCCCAGUAGUUCGGACGCAAGUAUUGGUAUUGAGAAACGACUAAUGUGUCUCUGACAGGAAGUCCAGGAUCCAUUUGAGGGAGUUUAUCACUUCCUCUUCUGAGCAUCAGUAUAAACUGGGCAGAAGACACCUCUUGUCCUAGACUUGCUUCAAAACAACUGAUCUCAGCCUCAACAUGUCACUGCUCUCUUUCGUACUGCUGGCAGCUACUGCAGUGUGCUGCUUCACAACCCUCUGUGCAUCGCCAGUGAAAGGCUUUGGUGUCAACAAGUGUCAGUGUGUGACCACCACCUCAUCCAUAAUCCCAUCUCGGGUGUUCCAGAGGAUUGAGAUCGUUCCUCCGGGAGCACACUGUCCCAAAACCGAGAUCUUGAUUACCCUAAAGGACAGCCGAACAGUUUGCAUAGACCCUGAAGCACGAUGGAUCAACAAUGUCAUCUCAAAAGUAAUGAGGAGCCAAAGAACUGCAAAGAAAACGGCUGUGCCCACUGGGGCAUAAAUCAACGUGAACAAGAACAACUUUCCAUUUCCUGCCUUUCAGUUAUUCCUUUUCUUUAAGCAGCCAACUCAAGUGUGCUGAAUGUUAUUGGGCCAAAUUUAUACAAAAUCUGUAAUUAUUAUUUUUAAAUAAAAAUCUCACAGCCUUCUUUCUUUAAAAUGAC
ensembl:lncRNA